rnacentral:rRNA from 1 species
AUUGAACGCUGGCGGCAGGCCUAACACAUGCAAGUCGAGCGGUAGAGAGGUGCUUGCACCUCUUGAGAGCGGCGGACGGGUGAGUAAUGCCUAGGAAUCUGCCUGGUAGUGGGGGAUAACGCUCGGAAACGGACGCUAAUACCGCAUACGUCCUACGGGAGAAAGCAGGGGACCUUCGGGCCUUUCGCUAUCAGAUGAGCCUAGGUCGGAUUAGCUAGUUGGGGAGGUAAUGGCUCACCAAGGCGACGUUCCGUAACUGGUCUGAGAGGAUGAUCAGUCACACUGGAACUGAGACACGGUCCAGACUCCUACGGGAGGCAGCAGUGGGGAAUAUUGGACAAUGGGCGAAAGCCUGAUCCAGCCAUGCCGCGUGUGUGAAGAAGGUCUUCGGAUUGUAAAGCACUUUAAGUUGGGAGGAAGGGUCGUUACCUAAUACGUGACGAUUUUGACGUUACCGACAGAAUAAGCACCGGCUAACUCUGUGCCAGCAGCCGCCGUAAGAC